rnacentral:rRNA from 1 species
UAAACGCGUGAGCAACCUGGCUAUAAGAGGGGAAUAACAGUUAGAAAUGACUGCUAAUACCGCAUAAGCUGAUAAAGUCGCAUGAUUUAGUCAGAAAAGGAGCAAUCCGCUUAUAGAUGGGCUCGCGUCCGAUUAGCUAGUUGGUGGGGUAGAAGCCUACCAAGGCGACGAUCGGUAGCCGGACUGAGAGGUUGAACGGCCACAUUGGGACUGAGAUACGGCCCAGACUCCUACGGAAGGCAGCAG